rnacentral:rRNA from 1 species
AAUCUCGAACAAUGGGGGCAACCGUAAUCCAGCCAUGCGGUGUGAGUGAUGAAGCCCUUAGGGUGAAAAACAUGGGGGUCAUCCGACGAUAAUGACGGUUGCAGGGAAAGAAACCCGGGUAAGUUCGUGCCCAGCAGCGCGGGUAAUAGAGAGGGGGUUAGGGUAUUUGGGAUCUAUGGGGCGUAAAGGGCACGUAGCGGGACGGUCAAGUGGAGGGUGAAUUCCCAGGGUUCAACCCUGGAACUGCCUCCAAAACUAUCAGUCUAGAGUUCGAGAGAGGAGAGUGGAAUUCCGAGGAUAGAGGAAAAAUUCGUAUAUAUUCAGAAACACACCAGGGGAAGGCGGCUCACUGGGCCUUUUUAGACGCUGAGGCACGAAAAAUAGGGUAGAGCACACAGGAAGAUACCCCUGGUAGUCCCACACUA